rnacentral:rRNA from 1 species
CAUUUAUACCGUGAAACUGCGAAUGGCUCAUUAAAUCAGUUAUCGUUUAUUUGAUAGUACCUUACUACUUGGAUAACCGUGGUAAUUCUAGAGCUAAUACAUGCUAAAAGCCCCGACUUCGGAAGGGGUGUAUUUAUUAGAUAAAAAACCAAUGCCCUUCGGGGCUCCUUGGUGAUUCAUAAUAACUUAACGAAUCGCAUGGCCUUGUGCCGGCGAUGGUUCAUUCAAAUUUCUGCCCUAUCAACUUUCGAUGGUAGUAUAUGGGACUACCAUGGUUUCAACGGGUAACGGGGAAUUAGGGUUCUAUUCCGGAGAGGGAGCCUGAGAAACGGCUACCACAUCCAAGGAAGGCAGCAGGCGCGCAAAUUACCCAAUCCCGACACGGGGAGGUAGUGACAAUAAAUACUGAUACAGGGCUCUUUUGGGUCUUGUAAUUGGAAUGAGUACAAUUUAAAUCCCUUAACGAGGAACAAUUGGAGGGCAAGUCUGGUGCCAGCAGCCGCGGUAAUUCCAGCUCCAAUAGCGUAUAUUAAAGUUGUUGCAGUUAAAAAGCUCGUAGUUGAACCUUGGGCCUGGCUGGCCGGUCCGCCUCACCGCGUGCACUGGUCCGGCCGGGUCUUUCCUCCUGGGGAGCCACAUGCCCUUCACUGGGUGUGUUGGGGAACCAGGACUUUUACUUUGAAAAAAUUAGAGUGUUCAAAGCAGGCCUAUGCUCGAAUACAUUAGCAUGGAAUAAUAGAAUAGGACGUGUGGUUCUAUUUUGUUGGUUUCUAGGACCGCCGUAAUGAUUAAUAGGGAUAGUCGGGGGCAUCAGUAUUCAAUUGUCAGAGGUGAAAUUCUUGGAUUUAUUGAAGACUAACUACUGCGAAAGCAUUUGCCAAGGAUGUUUUCAUUAAUCAGUGAACGAAAGUUAGGGGAUCGAAGACGAUCAGAUACCGUCGUAGUCUUAACCAUAAACUAUGCCGACUAGGGAUCGGGCGAUGUUAUUUUUUUGACUCGCUCGGCACCUUACGAGAAAUCAAAGUC